GACGAACGCUGGCGGCGUGCUUAACACAUGCAAGUCGAACGGAAAGGCCCUGCUUUUGUGGGGUGCUCGAGUGGCGAACGGGUGAGUAACACGUGAGUAACCUGCCCUUGACUUUGGGAUAACUUCAGGAAACUGGGGCUAAUACCGGAUAGGAGCUCCUGCUGCAUGGUGGGGGUUGGAAAGUUUCGGCGGUUAGGGAUGGACUCGCGGCUUAUCAGCUUGUUGGUGGGGUAGUGGCUUACCAAGGCUUUGACGGGUAGCCGGCCUGAGAGGGUGACCGGCCACAUUGGGACUGAGAUACGGCCCAGACUCCUACGGGAGGCAGCAGUGGGGAAUAUUGCACAAUGGGCGGAAGCCUGAUGCAGCAACGCCGCGUGCGGGAUGACGGCCUUCGGUUUGUAAACCGCUUUCGCCUGUGACGAAGCGUGAGUGACGGUAAUGGGUAAAGAAGCACCGGCUAACUACGUG
rnacentral:rRNA from 1 species